UACGGAGGGUGCAAGCGUUGUUCGGAAUUACUGGGCGUAAAGCGCGUGUAGGUGGUCGAGUAAGUCGAAUGUGAAAGCCCCGGGCUCAACCCGGGAAGUGCAUCCGAAACUGCUCGACUAGAGUCCCGGAGAGGAAGGCAGAAUUCCCAAUGUAGGGGUGAAAUCCGUAGAUAUUGGGAGGAAUACCGGUGGCGAAGGCGGCCUUCUGGACGGUGACUGACACUCAGACGCGAAAGCGUGGGGAGCAAACAGGAUUAGAUACCCUGGUAGUCCACGCUGUAAACGUUGCGAACUAGGUGUCGGGGGUAUUCACCCCUCCGGUGCCGAAGCUAACGUCUUAAGUUCGCCGCCUGGGAAGUACGGCCGCAAGGCUAAA
rnacentral:rRNA from 1 species